rnacentral:misc_RNA from 1 species
CAAUGUCCUUAUUUGAGAGGGAUGAAGCCACACCAAAGAGAUGGUUCCCCGGGAGAGUAUCCAUGUCCAUGGUAUGAGUUUCAGCUGAUGAUUCAUUCUUUAAAUCAACUGCAGAAGUGUGGACAUUUUCAAUGUUUUCUUUUCCUUCACUAUCUGUGGAGCUGUCCAGAGUUUGCAGUUUCACUCCUUGCUUAACAUUCAAACCAUAAUCCGGAGAUAAGCUGAGGAACUCACUCGUUGGUUUUCCUUCAAUUUUGGUGGAU